UACGGGGGGGGCGAGCGUUGUCCGAAGUUACUGGGCGUAAAGCGCGCGUAGGCGGGUUGUUAAGUCUGCUGUGAAAGCCCGGAGCUCAACUCCGGAGGGUCGGUGGAUACUGGCAGCCUUGAAGAUGCUAGGGGGAAGUGGAAUUACCGGUGUAACGGUGAAAUGUGUAGAGAUCGGUAGGAACACUCGUGGCGAAGGCGGCUUCCUGGGGCAUUCUUGACGCUGAGGCGCGAAAGCUGGGGGAGCGAACGGG
rnacentral:rRNA from 1 species